UGUCUCUACUAUUACAGUUAUGUUGUAUGUGUACGGUGGAGGGCCUAUGAUCUACACAGGAGCCACUCUCGUCAUUAGGAAAAAGUUUUCUGCCUAACACUUUUGGACCAUGCAAUAGUGCAAAGUACAACUGCACUCUGUGUCAUGUGAUCAUCAUGCUGUCAUCUCUUAUCUACUACAAGUGGGAUUCCUAUCUCAAGAUGUGAUUGAGAAUCAAGCACCUAUAUAAUUAUAUAGCCUCGAUUCCAGGCCGCACCUUUAGACAAACAAUUCAAUCUAGUUUCAGGUUAUUAAUUUUGCACAUUUCUCAUUAUUGACCAAUUAACUUUCAAGUUUUACAUGA